UACGGGGGGGGCAAGCGUUGUUCGGAAUUACUGGGCGUAAAGGGCGCGUAGGCGGCCUGCUAAGUCGGAUGUGAAAUCCCUCGGCUCAACCGAGGAACUGCAUCCGAUACUGGCGGGCUUGAAUCCGGGAGAGGGAUGUGGAAUUCCAGGUGUAGCGGUGAAAUGCGUAGAUAUCUGGAGGAACACCGGUGGCGAAGGCGGCAUCCUGGACCGGUCUUGACGCUGAGGCGCGAUAGCUAGGGGAGCAAGCGGG
rnacentral:rRNA from 1 species